rnacentral:rRNA from 1 species
AGGGCACCACCAGGAGUGGAGCCUGCGGCUUAAUUUGACUCAACACGGGAAAACUCACCCGGCCCGGACACUGGAAGGAUUGACAGAUUGAGAGCUCUUUCUUGAUUCAGUGGGUGGUGGUGCAUGGCCGUUCUUAGUUGGUGGAGUGAUUUGUCUGGUUAAUUCCGAUAACGAACGAGACUCUAGCCUACUAAAUAGAUCGUCGGCUUACAAACGCCGGCGAGACUUCUUAGAGGGACAGGCGGUGAUUCAACCGCACGAAACAGAGCAAUAACAGGUCUGUGAUGCCCUUAGAUGUCCGGGGCCGCACGCGCGCUACACUGAAGUGAUCAGCGUGCUUUUUCAACCUACUCUGUCAAGAGUGGGGAACCCAAUGAACCUUCUUCGUGAUUGGGAUAGGGGAUUGUAAUUAUUCCCCUCGAACGAGGAAUUCCCAGUAAGCGCGAGUCAUAAGCUCGCGUUGAUUACGUCCCUGCCCCUUGUACACACCGCCCGUCGCUACUACCGAUUGAAUGUUUU